rnacentral:SRP_RNA from 1 species
GUUGGGCAUACUGGCACACCUGUAGGCCAGCUACUCCAGAAGCUGGGGCAGGAGGAUUGCUUGAGUCCAGGAGUUCUGGGUUGCAGUGCACUAUGCCAAUCAAAUGUCUGCACUAAGUUGAGCCAUCAAUAUGGUGACCUUCUAAAGUGGGGGACUACCAGGUUGCUUAAGGAGGGGCAAAAUGACUUAGGUUGAAAACAGGGCAGGUCCAAACUCCUGUGCUGCUUGGUAGUGGGAUCAUGCCUUUGAAUAGCCACUGCACUCCAGCCUGGGCAACAUGGUGACAGCCCAU